UACGUAGGGUGCGAGCGUUUGUCCGGAAUUAUUGGGCGUAAAGAGCUCGUAGGCGGUGUGUCACGUCGGCCGUGAAAACCUGCAGCUUAACUGUGGGCGUGCGGUCGAUACGGGCAUCACUGGAGUUCGGCAGGGGAGACUGGAAUUCCUGGUGUAGCGGUGAAAUGCGCAGAUAUCAGGAGGAACACCGGUGGCGAAGGCGGGUCUCUGGGCCGAUACUGACACUGAGAGACGAAAGCUAGGGGGAGCGAAUGGG
rnacentral:rRNA from 1 species